rnacentral:rRNA from 1 species
UGUCCAUCGUUUACAGCUAGGACUACAGGGGUAUCUAAUCCCUUUCGCUCCCCUAGCUUUCGUCCCUCAGNGUCAGUUGCGGCCUAGCAGAGCGCUUUCGCCACCGGUGUUCUUCCCAAUAUCUACGCAUUUCACCGCUACACUGGGAAUUCCCUCUGCCCCUACCGCACUCAAGCUAUAUNGUUUCCACUGCCGAUCCACAGUUAAGCUGUNGGCUUUGACAGCAGACUUAUAUAGCCACCUACNGACGCUUUACGCCCAAUAAAUCCNGAUAACGCUUGCAUCCUCCGUAUUACCGCGGCUGCUGGCACGGAGUUAGCCGAUGCUGAUUCCUCANGUACCGUCAGAUCUUCUUCCCUGAGAAAAGAGGUUUACAACCCACAGGCAUUCCUCCCUCAAGCGGCGUUGCUCCGUCAGGCUUUCGCCCAUUGCGGAAAAUUCCCCACUGCUGCCUCCCGUAAGGANUCUGGGCCGUGUCUCANUCCCAGUGUGGNUGAUCA